AUGCAAGUCUGCCAAAGUUCCUGGCCAAAUAAAGCUCCUUCCUUCUUUAACCUAGUGUCUGAGGAGUUUUGUCUGUGGCUCAUCCUGCUACAUUUCUUGGUUCCCUGGUUCCCUGACUUGGAAGUGAGGUGAUUGGCAGACAGUCGAGGCAGCCCCUUAGGUGACUUAGGCCUGCCCCAUGGAGCAUCCUUGCAGGGGACUCCAACCAGCCUGAGUGACAUGGAUCCUGACAGCACUCCCAGUUUCCAUGAUUAUAGAGAGAUUUUUCAUCUGGAACAGUGGAGGUGGCCUUUGACAGUGCAGAGGAGUGAGAGUGGACAACACAGUACAUCACAAUGGGAUUCUGGGAGUGAAAACAAGAAGCCAUGAUCUUCUUCAGCAUCCCUUUCUACAGCAUCCUCAUGUGAAAAUUGGCAUAACUAGACAACUUUCAAACUUCUGGAUAAAUUUGAGAAUAAAUAUAUGGCAUUUGAAAACAGAGUUAAGUUUCUACCUCCAAAACAAAUCAAUCUGCUUGUACUUUUUGAUGUAAAAAUGGAUCCAGGAGCCAAGUAGAAGAAACCCUUCCUUUUGGAAUGAUUGACCUGGCUAUGAAUCCUGGCUCUGCCAUCACAGUUCUGUGUUACAUUAGGUGGAGUCACGGGACUCUCUGAGCCUCAGCUUCACAGACAUAAAAGAGGAUUGAAAUAAGGCCUCCUCAACAAGGAAAUUCUAGGAGACUGAUGGAGAAUUCCCCUGCUCCAUGCUUUUAGAGAUUAAGCUGGGGUCAUUUACUGGGCCUGGACCCAAUCUGCCUCUUUCAGGAUCAUGAAUAUUGUUUAUGCAGUGAACAUCACACAGGAAGAUUUUUCAGUUUUCCAAAGUAAUAUGCUUUCUUCUCCAUGAAACACACACAGGGUUCUCUUGGUUCAUCUUUUAUUUUUUCAUUAGAAGUGCAUGAUACUCCAUGCCUGAUAUUGCUUCAAACACUUUAUAUAUAUAUUAACUCAUUUGAUAAAUCACAAUUUUU
rnacentral:lncRNA from 10 species